AUAAGACAUCUACUGUGGCUGGGCUUGCUGGUCUCUGCACCAUGAGAAACAGCUAUCUAAGUUUGCUUCCAGGACUCUUGGUGCUGCUGCUGUUUCCAAUGGGACCUACAGCCCAGAACAGUAAAGCCUGCGCUCUGUGGUGCCCUCCGAACUCCUCAUGUGUCAAUGGCACCGCCUGC